CUGAUCUCAAAUCAGGUAGGAAUACCCGCUGAACUUAAGCAUAUCAAUAAGCGGAGGAAAAGAAACUAACAAGGAUUCCCCUAGUAACGGCGAGUGAAGCGGGAAGAGCUCAAAUUUAAAAUCUGGCAGUGUAUUCUGUCCGAGUUGUAGUCUAGAGAAGCGUCA
rnacentral:rRNA from 1 species